GACGAACGCUGGCGGCGCGCUUAACACAUGCAAGUCGAACGGAGCUGAUAGGAGCUUGCUUUUCUUAGCGUAGUGGCGAACGGGUGAAUCACGCGUGAAUAACCUGCUCUCGAUUGGGGAAGAACAGUUAGAAAGGACUGCUAAUACCCCAUAAGCCCACGAUCCAGCGUCGGAUUGAGGGAGAAUGGUUGAUUGGGUUCAGAAUGGACUCGCGUCCAAUUGGCUAGUUGGUGAAGUAACGGCCCACCAAGGCGACGAGUGGGAGCCGGACCGAGAAGUGGAACGGUCACAUUGGGAAUGAGCCACGGCCGAGACCAGUAGGGAGGGAAGUAGUGGGGGGUACUGCAGAAUGGGGGAGACACUGAUGCAGCGGCGUGGAGUGGAGGAAGAAGGUUUUCGGAUUGUAAACUCCUGUAGUUAGGGACGAGAAUGACGGUAACUAGAAAGAAAGCACCGGCUAACUACGUG
rnacentral:rRNA from 1 species